rnacentral:rRNA from 1 species
UACGUAGGGUGCAAGCGUUAAUCGAAAUUACUGGGCGUAAAGCGUGCGCAGGCGGUUAUGUAAGACAGAUGUGAAAUCCCCGGGCUCAACCUGGGAACUGCAUUGUGACUGCAUAGCUAGAGUACGGUAGAGGGGGAUGGAAUUCCGCGUGUAGCAGUGAAAUGCGUAGAUAUGCGGAGGAACACCGAUGGCGAAGGCAAUCCCCUGGACCUGUACUGACGCUCAUGCACGAAAGCGUGGGGAGCAACAGG